ensembl:lncRNA
GAUGCAUCCUGAAGAGUCUCACUCUUUCCUCUGUUCCCAGCAGCCCAGCUUUCUUCUGGGGAGGCAAACCGCGCCCCAGGUUUCUGUGUCUCCUUCAGAGAGAACACAAGGGGCAAGUCUAAUGGGGGCUCCCACACCUCUAACUCGGUAGUUCACUUGAGGGGUGUCUGUGUGUGUGUGUCUGAUUGUGUUACUUGCUUGCCUAGAAAGCUUGGGAGGCUCCUGGAAGGCCAUCUAAGGUCCUUGCCUGGCCUGCAGCAUCUGGUGGCCUGGCCUGGCGCAGCUCACUCCUCCCCGGCAGCAGGAUGGGUCACAAUGCCCUCCCUUCCAGUGUCUCCCGUCUGCCACAGACCCUUGCACGUGCUGUUCCCUCUCUCUAGAACACCCUGCUCCCUUUCACGUAACCAACAUCUCAUCUACCAGCCCCUUCCUCCAGGAAGCCAUCCCCAAAUACUAGGCAGGGUUACAUCUCCCGGGAAGGCCCUCUCGGGACACCCUGUUCCCUCUCCUUGCUCCAGGAGAGAGGAACCAGUUCUAAUUUGGGCACCAGGCGCGGUGCCUGGCACGUAACAGGCUUUCAGUAAAUAUUUGUGGAGAGUGAAGGCGCCUGUGAAUCCUUCAUGUCAUGGCAGGAGGCGCCAGAGCCAGGGCUGUCGGCAGGAGUGGAGGGACCCCCAGCGCUGGGUGCUGGGCCAGGCAGGUUCUCCAUGGUGAUCCAGCAACAGCAGGUCCAACCCAGGGUCAACAGAGAGAAGCCAAAUAUCCUAAGAGUGGACAGUGGUCAGUAAUGGGGCCAGUGGGUGACCGGCUCCCACUCCGCCAGGCCUGAGGCUCAGAGUUCCCUGGAGGAGCAAGGACAUUCCUAGGAGGACCAGACCAGGCGUCAGAUCAGGAACUAGGGACCCAUCCAGACAGGGAGGGAGAGCUGAGGGCCUGGGGCCUCCCGAGGGCUUGGGCUGGGGUAUCGCCGAGUGUUCUGGAGGAUUAGUAAGGGGCUGUGUAAAGGCUCCGGAAUCAUGCGGGGUCCUACCUCUGCCCUGCCAGGAGUGUCGGCCUCUCGCAGAGGGGCAAGGCUGAGGCCCGGCAAGGCGACCGAAAGUGUCCUUCCAGUGUCUGGAGCAGAAGGCCUAGGGUGUGACCUUUGACCCCCAAGCUCUACCGCAUCCCCUGGGCUCGGAAAGGUUGAAGGAGGAGCUGAACCACCUCUGCAGGCCAAGGUUCCACACUUCCAGCCUGAGGCCAGAGGGAAAAGUAAAGCUCACAAACAGCACCGAAGAGAGAAGCAGGCUGGAGGCUGACGAACCUCAGACGCAGGUGUGACUCCGUGGGGGAAAGACGCUCACGGAGAAAAGCCAAAUCCCGACAGGGUCAUAGUGCAUGGAGGAUGACCACCAUUCUUUGCCACUUCUCUGCAUUCAGAGACUAGAUCUAAUUCCCUGCCCUUGCAUCGGGGCUGGCCUCUGACUUCUUUCGAGGAGUGGGAUGCAGCGCAAGUGAUGCUGUGUAGGUCCCAAGGCCGCAGAGAUCUGCAGCUUCUGUCUUUGCUUCUUGGAACCUGACUGCCAUUCUGUGAGGAAGCCCAAGUAGCCGAGUGGGGAGGCCCCAGCAGAGAGGAGGGGAGCACCCCUGAACUUCCACCUGCAGCCAAGCCGGGGGAGUGUGGACACUUGGUGCCUUCCAGCCUUCCCAGUGUCCCAGCUGACACCACACAAAGCAGAAGGACCACGAUCAACCCACAGUUGUGAGAAAUAAUACAUUUUUGUUGUUUUGAGUCACCAAGUUUUAGGGUUUUUUAUGACAUAGAAAUGGUGGCAGAAGCAGGACCAUUUCCGCUCUGCAGGUGGGAGUGGCCAGCCUGCUGGAAGGAUGCAUGGGUUGAACUGCUUCUGGGGCCCUGUAGGGAUAGAGAUAAGGGCAGAUCCCAAUAAAGCAACGUUGAUUUUUUUUUAAUGUUUAUAUUUAUCGAAGUAAUAUAUAUAUACAUAUGUAUGUAAGUGUGUGUGGCAACAACUCAGAUACACCAGGGAAGCUCACGGUGAAAG